GAAAACGCUGGUCAUUCGGUUGGA
rnacentral:siRNA from 1 species